rnacentral:rRNA from 1 species
GACGAACGCUGGCGGCGUGCUUAACACAUGCAAGUCGAGCGGAAAGGCCUCUUCGGGGGUACUCGAGCGGCGAACGGGUGAGUAACACGUGAGUAAUCUGCCCUUCACUCUGGGAUAGCCACCGGAAACGGUGAUUAAUACCGGAUACGACACGUCCAGGCAUCUGGUGCGUGUGGAAACUUUUUGGGUGGGGGAUGUGCUCGCGGCCUAUCAGCUUGUUGGUGGGGUAAUGGCCUACCAAGGCUUCGACGGGUAGCCGGCCUGAGAGGGUGACCGGCCACACUGGGACUGAGACACGGUCCAGACUCCUACGGGAGGCAGCAGUGGGGAAUAUUGGACAAUGGGCGGAAGCCUGAUCCAGCAACGCCGCGUGAGGGAUGACGGCCUUCGGGUUGUAAACCUCUUUCAGCACCGACGAAGCGAUCCUUUGGGGAGUGACGGUAGGUGCAGAAGAAGGACCGGCCAACUACGUGCCAGCCGCCGCGUAAUAC